rnacentral:tRNA from 1 species
UCCCUGGUGGCUCAGACGGUAAAGCGUCUGCCUGCAAUGCGGGAGACCCGGGUUUGAUCCCUGGAUUGGGAA